UUCAAAUUCAAACAGCCAUGUUAUUGGUCAACUGGACUGCCUAUACAUUUAACUGUGUUGCCUAUAAAUUUAACAAAAUGCCACAUUCAUCCUCUCACAACCUCUACAUCACAAACGUAUAGGCUACUACCUUACUAAGACACAAAAUCAACAAAAGAAAAAUAUUAUUUGAUGACCAAAACUGAUAGAUCAGUGUGUCUAGGCUAGGUUAUUGCACAUUGCCAUCCAUGCGGCUGACAUAUCAGGCCUAAAAGCUACACACAUUAGUAUUUUAUUAAAGGUGAGAUGACUAUGAAACUAUACAAACAAUGUAUUAGGCCUACCAAAAAAAUAUACUUUCCAUAAGUACACUAUAUUACAACUUACAAGUAUUAGCAAUUUAAUACACUUAAACUAAAUAAACUUCUUUACCAUUUAAAAUACACUAACAACAAAGUACACUUUUAAAAAGUACAUUACAAAAACACUUUGAAUAUUGCACAAUAAGUAUAUUUAAUUUUAGUACACUGAAGUUGAACUUAAUAACAUCUACUUUGAAGUAUACUUUCUAAAAGUACACA